CCUUGCCUACGGGGGGCAGCAGUGGGGAAUAUUGGGCAAUGGGCGAAAGCCUGACCCAGCAACGCCGCGUGAAGGAAGAAGGCUUUCGGGUUGUAAACUUCUUUUACCAGGGACGAAGGACGUGACGGUACCUGGAGAAAAAGCUCCGGCUAACUACGUGCCAGCAGCCGCGGUAAUACGUAGGGAGCAAGCGUUGUCCGGAUUUACUGGGUGUAAAGGGAGCGUAGGCGGGAAGCCAAGUCAGCUGUGAAAACUACGGGCUUAACCUGUAGACUGCAGUUGAAACUGGCUUUCUUGAGUGAAGU
rnacentral:rRNA from 1 species